UUUACUUAGGCUUCACCUCCACUCUAUCGAGAGAGAGAGAGAGAGAGCGACGAGGGCCUCAUCUUUUGGGUUUUGGUUAUUUGCUGGACACAGAGAGAGAUGGAGCGAAGUAAACAGAGGAAGAAAGGAGAGAAGAAGAGGCCAUCCCUUCAAAAUGUCCAUCGCUAGGGUGGAGUUUGCCAUUGGAGGCUUAAUCGUGGACACCAAGGUGUUCUAUUGGCCAAGAAAGGACUUUUGCUAUGGAUUUCCGAUAUUUGUGUAGAUGUGGAUCCUUCUCAGCUUUGUGUGCUUAGCUUUGCUGAUUGAAGAAGAUGAAUGGAAAAAUGAGCUCUUCUUCAGCUUCAGAAGGCUUGGGUUCGUUUUGGAAGAGAUGUGUGCCAAGAUUGUGAUUGAGUUUAGGAGACGGGCUUUGGGAACAAAAGAGAUCGAUCAGCUUCGGUCCAAUCUUGAAUCUCUAAUUGCCAGCCGGGUUCAAAUCUUCUUCAUUUGCUUCUGAGAUCAACAUCAGAGCAAACCCAGACUCGAUUACAGAAUUUAUCAGUUAAUUGUGCAGGCCAAAUAAAGGAGGUCCUUCUAAAGCACCAGUUAUAUAUACUGGAAAUCAUGUGCUUCACAAUACCAAUGACUGCAAUUGUCUCAUUGAAUACCAAGUGCAAUGUAUUUUUAAGUUGGAUCUUUACACUAUGCUUUUGAUGAUAAUGUUUACAAAACAUGCGGAAAUUAACCAAAAUAUCCUCAAUAUAGCAAGAUAACAAUUCUUAGCGAACUAAGACCAGGAAUUAUGAUAUAUAUCAGUAGCACUGACAGUAGAAUCAGAUAAAUAACUAUCUGAAUUUUUUUCAACAAUUUAACCAAACAGAAAAUGAAGAUGGCAUCUAAUUUCUAGCAUAAGAGGAUCAAGAGCCUAAGAUUUCAUUCACUACCAAAUUUAAAUGAUGCAGAUGUGCAUUGUAGUAUUUUCUUUGAUUUCAUAUUCUAUUUCUGCCGUUUGAUGAUUUGUUCAACUCUUUGCAAUGCAUUAGAAGUGUUGUACUUUUAUUAUAGUGUCCAGAAUCAUUUGCGUAUGAAUAAGGCUGAUAUAUAUGCUUCUCCUAUUUUCUCUUCAUAGAUUUAUGACUUCGACCGAUAUAAUAAGGAUGUUGGUGUUGCUCAGUUUACAACAAAAAAUUAUGUUGUUAGAAACUGCCUCCCAAAUGCCAAAUCAGAUAUAUGCUUUUAUCAGCAUGGAAUCCUCCACCUGAAGGGGGAAAGCAUGUACACUUCCUUUUGUGUUGCAUACUCAUUCUAUAGAGAGGAAAGAACCCUUUGAAGAUGAUAUUGUGUUAGCUCUGCUCAGCUGUUAAAAUAUGCUUAUAGCUACUGAAUGGUCUUAUGGAUAGUCCCUAAACCCAAGAUAGCGAACCAACAACUUCCACGCCAAAUCCUGUUAAGCUUGGGAAGAAGAGGAAUCUAGAUGGACUGCAGAAGGAAUUGUUCACACCAGAACCAAGCAAGAACCCAAGAAG